rnacentral:misc_RNA from 1 species
GUGAAUCAUCGAAUCUUUGAACGCACCUUGCGCUCCUUGGUAUUCCGAGGAGCAUGCCUGUUUGAGUGUCUUGAAGCCAUCAACCCCUCCCGUUUCGUGCGGAGAGGUGCGUUGGAGAUGGGGGCCUGCGGUCGUGAGGCCGCUCCCCUCAAAUGCUUCGGUUGGGCCUGUGGGUCGAACUCGGUUGGGCGUUGUAACAACCUCGCUCUCCUCCGAGAAGUUCCCCUGACAUUGUGCCCCUCCACGACCACCUAGCGAGUGGUGGUCAAAACAACUUUGAAAUCUGACCUCAAAUCAGGUAGGACUACCCGCUGAACUUAAGCAUAUCAAUAAGCGGAGGA